rnacentral:lncRNA from 1 species
ACGAUGCAGUGAUGUCUUACCUAAAAAUGGGAAAUGAUAACAUGAAUGUGAAUGCUGAAAAUGAUGCAAGGAUGUGGAAGGAAAAAUACACAAAGGCUAAUAAGGAGCUUGAAGCAACUACCAUUGAGCUGCAGAAGGUGAAGCGACACCUGGAUUAGGCCACCAAUGUGGUGAAGAAGGUCAAGCAAUCACUACUGCAGGCCUCAUAUAGAAGGUCAUUCAGGGACGAUGGC